CUACAGAGAUAGACCUUUUUAAAAGAGUAAAAUCCUCUUUGUUUAACCAGAAACUGGCUAUUGCCAAACCUUUUCUCCAACCAACUCCAUUUAAAUAAGCGUGUAUAGAGAAAACAUAUUCUCAUAAGUAAAUCGGUAAAAUGAUGUGUUCAUUUAACCAACCCAGAGUGGUGAUUGUUGGAAAAGUGUAAAGACUAACCAAGACGGCUUUUCAUAGUUUAAUUUUGUGUCUGUCCACUUUGAAUGAAGUGUGUUUUACGAUGAUAAAAAUCACUGUUUAUUUACAUGGAGUCUGGUGGGUUUAGAUUAUUGUUCCCAUCAAUCACGUAGACACAAAAACAUGGGGAAAUAGGGUCCAGGUUGAAAAAAAAAGGAAAAAGUUACCCUUUAACUAGAGUACACAAAGAUCCCCUUGCAACUCUGAGAACACACACACGUCCUCAUCCAACUGCUAUAUUCAUGUACUGUGUAAAAUAACCAACACACACACACACACACACACACACACACACACACACACACACAGCCUCUUGUUUAUCUCAACCUGAUGGCCUUUGAGCCUGUCAUGUUCACCUGGGCGAGGGGACAGCUGGAACACGAAGACAGGACGUGUAUUGGAGAAGAGACACAGUAAUUGGAGAAUUUGUGGAUGUGUGUUGAUACUGUAGAACUACACGUACACGUGUGGAUCACAUAACCUCCUCACGAUGCCGACGUGUUGGGUAAUGGACGCUCAGAGUCCGUACACGUGUGUGUUUGUGUGUAGAACAGAUUCCAUGCAGCGUUGAUGAAGUACACUGUAUUGAUGUAGCAAUAAUAAUAAUAAUAAUAAUAAUGGUUAGUUAGAAGAAAGUUAAUGAGGCUGUUUAACUCAAUGUGUACCGACUGAAGGAUUGAAAACAAUAUAACUAACUUCAUAGCUCAGUGAUGCUUAUACAUGUGUGUGAAAACGACAGUGGUGUCCAGCAGGUGCUACUGACCAUGGCUCGUAUAGUUGUGCUUUUCCUGUAAGUGAUGGCGUUCCUCUUGGCCUUUGAGUGCAACUGUGUGUUUCUUAACUAACGCAGGAAAACACCCGAUACGUGUUCUUUUAACUCCGCUUUUGUACUCUUGUAUUCUCUCUGCGUAAUGCUGCGUUUGAACCAAACUUGACAAUAGUGAUGCUAAGACAACACACAGGACUAUAAAGCUAAGAUUAGAUCCUAUUCUGUUCUCUGGCGAACAAAAUCCCAUGUCCAAUGUUGGCGAUUUUCAGGCUUUGUUAUAUUUGUACAAGGCUAUUUUUUUCUUAGUUCCCAAGAAAUUGUAGGUGAUUUGCAGAUGAAAGCUUUCCAAAGAUUGACGUCUAGGGCUGUCCGCAAGUAGAGGCGUUCUUAGUCGAUUAACACUCCUAUGGUUUUAUCAACAAUAUACGAUAAGUUUAAUUUAUUGGACAGAUCUGUCAUGCAGAACCACCACUUUAAAUCUUGUGUUUACCAGAGAUCAAAAAAAAAAAAGUAAUCGAAUAAAGAAAUCGACUACCAAUUAGUCGACUAAUCGGCUAAAAGAGGGCAGCCAUAUUGAUGUCAUUAAAAAAGAUCAGAUUUGAACAAAUGUUUUUCCACCUAAUUCUGCAAUCAGUUUGAACCAAGCAGGCGUGAGGGCUGCAACAACGGGCAACUUUUGAAAAGAAGACAUUUUGAAUGUUUAUUCUGCCGUUUGAGGGAGGCAGGAAGGUGGACCGACCGACGGGAGGCGAGGAUCACAGACCGUGGGCACGACGCUGAGGUCUACUAACCCUUCUUUAAGUUCAGGUGUAGGACUGCUGGACGUUCUGAAUGGCAUCCCAUACUUUUGUGCUCUGUUUCGCUGCCUUUAAUUUAUCUCUACAUUCCUUUCUUUUUUUUUUUUUUUAAUACCAUUACCCUCUUUCAUACCUCCACUUUUCUCCAUCCUGUUCCUGCUGCUCCAGUGGAGGCUGCAGGUGGUAGUGGGGGGGUGGCAGAGCUAAUGUACUGAGUCAUUGCCACAGGAUGAGGUUGACCUAAUAACAUUUCCAUGCAAGUGUUUUUGUGUAUGUGUGUGUUGUGUUUGGGAGAAGGCAUACGUUUCUAAAAGUAGACGACAUAUAUUGAAGAGAGAGCAAAGGUUGAAGGGUAGAAAAAGAAGAAGAAAUGACUGAUAUCAGAUUCACUUCUGGUUGCCUGUGUGGUUGGCUGGGCACACCUGCAGAGCUUCAUAAUUGGCUGUGAGCUAUAGACGGAGUGACAGCACCUGCUGCUUUUGGUCUAUUAAUAACCUUCUGACUCACUGGUGGCCUCGGGAUGUGCUGGUGUGCUAAUGUCUGUCAUGAUACCGUGGUGCCCUAAUUCCUGGCCUGAUGGUACAAACUGGUUCUCCUACAUACACAGUCGCUGCCAAAACUAUUUGCCAUGUUUCCUCUUAAAGAUCACUGAAUCGGACAGCAGCUUCCGGAGAAAUUUCACGGCUCUCCACUGCAACCCAGAGCU